rnacentral:rRNA from 1 species
GGGAAUUCGAUUAUAGUUUGAUCCUGGCUCAGGACGAACGCUGGCGGCGCGCUUAACACAUGCAAGUCGAGCGAGAACCAGGGCUUCGGCCCUGGGGACAGCGGCGAACGGGUGAGUAACACGUGGGUAAUCUGCCCUCGGCACCGGAAUAGCCCGGGGAAACCCGGAUUAAUGCCGGAUAGCCUCCGAGUCUCUCGGGACGCGGAGAAAAGGUAGCUUCGGCCUCUGGCCGAGGAGGAGCCCGCGGCGGAUUAGCUUGUUGGCGGGGUAAUGGCCCACCAAGGCGACGAUCCGUAGCUGGUCUGAGAGGACGAUCAGCCACACUGGGACUGAGACACGGCCCAGACUCCUACGGGAGGCAGCAGUGGGGAAUCUUGCGCAAUGGACGAAAGCCUGACGCAGCGACGCCGCGUGCGGGAAGAAGGCCUUCGGGUUGUAAACCGCUUUCAGGAGGGACGAAGCCACUCGGGUUAAUAGCCCAGAGGGUGACGGUACCUCCAGAAGAAGCCCCGGCUAACUACGUGCCAGCAGCCGCGGUAAUACGUAGGGGGCAAGCGUUGUCCGGAUUUAUUGGGCGUAAAGAGCGUGUAGGCGGCCACGCAGGUCCGUUGUGAAAACUGGAGGCUUAACCUCCAGACGUCGAUGGAAACCGUGUGGCUAGAGUCCGGAAGAGGAGAGUGGAAUUCCUGGUGUAGCGGUGAAAUGCGCAGAUAUCAAGAAGAACACCCGUGGCGAAAGCGGCUCUCUGGGACGGUACUGACGCUGAGACGCGAAAGCGUGGGGAGCGAACAGGAUUAGAUACCCCUGGUAGUCCACGCCGUAAACGAUGGGUGCUAGGUGUAAGGGGUGUCGACUCCCCUCUGGUGCCGCAGCUAACGCAUUAAGCAACCCCCGCCUGGGGAGUACGGCCGCAGGGCUAAAACUUCAAACGAAUUGACGGGGGCCC